ACACAGGAAGCAUCAACUCUGAGGCUUUGGCCAGGAUGUGAGCCCGACUUUCGCAGCCCCAACUGGCAGGCUGACCUCAUGUGAACUCCCUGGCGAUGGCAUCCUGGAGACACCCACAUGGCUGAGCUGGCACCAUAGGUGAGGCCACUUCCUGCGAAGGUAGCUGGAUGCUCCUGCCUGGAGCUGCCCCCGGACCACAGAGCAUCCAGGAGAUGAAUGCACUUCCAGCCCCGCCACCCUGGGGAGAUAUACAGCUGAGGUGGCAGCUUUGGAGCAAGCAGGGCAGAGAUGCUUCCCCCUGAGGUCCCUCCCAGCUCUGCUACCUUGUCACUCAAGGUAUGGGUUGGUUGUGUUCCCCAAAAAUACAUGUUAAAAUCUGAGUCUUCAGCACCUCAGAAUAUGACAUCAUUUGGAAAUAAGGUCAUUGCAGAUCUAAUUACCAUAGUGACCCCUUAUCCUGGGGAAAAUGUUCCAAGGCCCUGGUGGAUGUCUGAAACCUCAGA
rnacentral:lncRNA from 1 species